UACGGGGGGAGCAAGCGUUGUUCGGAAUUACUGGGCGUAAAGGGCGCGUAGGCGGCCUUCUAAGUCAGACGUGAAAUCCCCCGGCUUAACCUGGGAACUGCGUCUGAUACUGGGAGGCUUGAGUAUGGGAGAGGGAUGUAGAAUUCCAGGUGUAGCGGUGAAAUGCGUAGAUAUCUGGAGGAAUACCGGUGGCGAAGGCGGCAUCCUGGACCAUUACUGACGCUGAGGCGCGAAAGCGUGGGGAGCGAACAGG
rnacentral:rRNA from 1 species